AUGAUUGCAUGGAACACCGUUACCUUCCCGCCAGAGAGGUACUUAUUGAUCUACUCACAUUUGCAUGUUUUCGAACUGCUAGGUUGGCAGAAGCUGGGGCUAAAAGCAGGAGCCAACCUAGCAGUUCGAAAACAUGCCAAUGUGAGUAGAUCAAUAGGUACCGCUCCAGCGGGAAGGUAACGGUGCUCCAUGCAGUCAUGCUGGCCACAUUACCUUGGAGGUGUCUACGGACAAUGCCGGCUCUUUGGCUUAGAAAUUGAGAUGAGCACCAACCCCCAGAGUCAGACAUGACUGGACUUAACGUCAGGAGAAACCUUUACCUUUUAACCAAUAUGUCCAAGGCCAUUUUGGAUGGAAGAUUAUCUGACUUGGAUGUAAUUUCAGGCCAUGCAUCAAAUCAGUGUGGUCCAACUUUUAGUUACACGAGGGCUGAUCAAACUUUAGUAUAGGAAUGUGAUGGCCAGAUAUAUUCCAGAAAGAAAACAUUUCUUAAAAACUUAAAGCAGUAAGAAGGGUAAACGAUUUUUUCCCAAAUGUUAAAUUAAAAUAUUUUUCCAGUAAGAAGGGCAAGGGGUAACAAAAAGGAAUUGGUGGGCCGCAUGCAGUCCAUGGGCCGCAGGUUGGACCAGACUGCAUUAAAUAAUUAGAAUAUCAUGAUAUGGAUUUUGAAUGGGCAUGUUUAAGAUAUGUAUGAGAAGGGGGGAAAAUCACCUUGAUUUACUUGUUUGUUUGUAUGUUUAAUAUCCACUUUUUCCCAGUAAAGAAGCCAAGGGGCUUAUAAUGUGAUUUUUUUUUUACAAUGAUGCAUUUACAGCCAAUGAGAGAAACAAAAGUAACAAGGCCGCCACUGGCAAUGCCAUAUCCCUUGUGCCUGAUGGCCUAAUUUUUUUUAUCAUGUUAGAAGUGACUUGAUAUACUGUAAGUUGCUUCUGGUGUGAGAGAAGUGGCCAUCUACAGAGACGUUGCCCAGAGGACACGCGGAUGUGUUACCAUCCUUCUAGAAGGCUUCUCUCAUGUCAUGAUUUGUAGUGGAAAUUAACCCUCUCUAAUACCAUUUUUCAGAUGUUUUAAAAUAUCCCAGUUUCUCUUGCCUUCCCACACAUUUUCUCUCUUGUCUCAAUUAUGUCAAUUAUCUCAAUUGCUUCAAACUGAGGCCCCUUCCACACAGCUGAUUAAAAUUCUACAUUAUCUGCUUUGAACUGUAAUAUAAGGCAGUGUGGACUCUGGUAACCCAGUUCAAAGCAGAUAUUGUGGGAUUUUCUGCCUUGAUAUUCUGGGUUAUAUGGCUGUGUGGAAGAGCCCUGAGUUCAAAGUUUAGAAGUAGUGUGCAUUCAAUGAACUCACUGGAGUGAGAGGAUUAGCAGGGAGAUUUCUGCCCUUCUCAGUUGGCUCAGGCAAAAGCAAACUGUUGCAGCCUUACUUAGCUUCUAUGGGCUUCCUCAUAAAAAAAACUUUUGCCACACUUUGAUGUUGCUUUUCCACAUUUGUUCUGAAUUACAUCUAUGACAUAUUGGAUUGUAUGGUUUAAGUCAUUUAAAAUAUAACAAGAAAGAAUAAGAAAAGUACAACACGCAUACCAUGACCCAGGACUGUUUACGGACAUUGACUAUGUCAAUGUGUGAAAUAUGUUAUUUUAUGUGAUGUGUUUAAUAAUAUUUAAUGUUUUAUUAGGGGAGGGCCAACUUCGAUCUUUUAUACUGUUUUUAUUGAGGGCAUUGAAUUGCUGCCAACACUGUGAACUGCUCUGAAUUCCCUUUGGGGUUGAGAAGGGUGGUAUAUAAAUACCACAAAUGAAAUGUUUAAAGGCCCUUGCAAAGCAAACAGUUGUCAUCACUCAAAGGUCUGUCAAUAGGAGGAGAGUUUCCUGUGGAUGCAAGUUCUCUCUCAUGCGUAUGGGGCUGGUGGGACUCAGAUAGAGCAUUCCCUUAAAGCUGUUUAAGGAUUAGGGAAGCAAGGAUGAAAAAGAAGGGAAGAGUGCCUCCUUACAAUUUAGAAACAAACUGGGAAAGUGGAAGAUAAGAAGACCGAAAAAGGGAGAAACUGUUCUCUGCAUUUCCCUGGCUUUCCUUUCAGUCUCCCCGGGGAUCUGCAGCAGUAACUUGAUCAAAAGCUUCAUAAAAGAAAGAGAAUUGCGAACACACAUGCCUUGCCACUACCAUUAGAAAUGAAAUCCAAGGAGUGGUGAGUGCCCACAAAAUUGCUGUUUUACUUCUAAGCACACUGGAAACCAACAGGAAAAUCUAGACACGCUGCAAGUGUUUAUUUCAGACUCUCCCAUCCCAUCAGCCACUCUUGAAUGACUUGAUCACUGGAAGUUUAUCCGCGACUCUGUCUGUGCUACAAAACCAUUCACAUAAAAGCUUACUGAGGCAGCAUUCCAAGUGCAAUUCAUAACAUUAAGAGCAUACCAUUUCUGUAAAGCUGGUUGGUGUUAUAUGCUUGUGUCUGGCAAAAGUGGCUUCCCAAGGGAUUUUGUAGUGCAUAGUGCUCAUUAUAGAAAAAUAUUCAUUCACCAACUUUUUGGAAAUGAAAAGCCUAAGGUACACAGUUUAAAGUGGUGGUUAUGACUUAUAAAGCUCUCUGCGGAUUGCGUCUGGAUGAUCUAAAAGACAUUGGCUGAAAAUAUGUUCACGGUUCAUGGAAUAAACUUCCUCUAGCAUACCUCAGCUUUUAGUGCAAUGCCUUUAUGGAACUGGGUGCAUAGUGGCCAAAGGCCAAAGUCUCAUGGAUACCAUUCAGCUGCAGUUUUGCAGACAAAAUAAAAGAAGAGCCAUCACAAAAAACAGUAGCAGAAAUUUAGUGAGACAAUAAAUAGGGGAAUUAGAGACGGCCUGGGGAGUAUAUUCUACUACAUGUAGCUCUAUAAAAGAAGAAGUCAUACCUUACUUAUUUUUAAGUUUCUAUAAAGAGAACCUGCAAAACAAGAUGCUCCAGAUAUACAUAAGAUGUAGGGAAUCUUGCAUGAGGAUGGAUAGCAUUCAAAGAGAUAAAUGUGCUAGUCUGUUAAGCACUACAAAGACAUGAGAGCAACUGGAAAUAAAUUUAUUAGAAAAAAAAUUCUAGCAAAAGCUUUCAUGGAGACAAUUGCACCUGAUGCAGAACACUAUAGUCUAUGUGGAAGCUUAUGGUAACAUUUAAUUUUUCUAAAUAUCUUUUCCCAUUUCUGAAAUAAAUUUCCUUUAAACCUUGAAGGCGCUACCAAAUCCUUUUUUGGAGUAGAUGUUCCCUAAAAUGCAUUAUGAUAGAGUUCCUAAAGCAAGGCUGGAGCAUCAAGUCUUGUCAGAUUGCAGCUCCCAUCAUCCUUUCACUAUUGGCUGAUGGGAGAUGCAAUACAGCAACAUUUGGAGUCACACUUUCCUGACCCAUUCCCUUUAAAAGUUUUGCCAUCAUUUCCUUGAAUAAAGUUUAGAAACUGACAAGAAAAGCAACUUACCACCUCAUCACACUAAGAGGGGAAAGCAUAGGUGAUUGUCCCUGUAAGAGAAGAGAAUAACCCUUCUUAUAUCGCCAGCAGUCCCUUUUCGCAUUCUGCCUCCCCAUCAUAUUUACACAUGGAAACUCGAGCUGGCAAUACAUUCAUCGUACAUUCAUCACAAAAUGAGUAUUACUUUUUUGUUUUUAAUCAGGAGAAACAAAAAUAUCUAAAAACCAAGAGAUCCCUUGCCCUACCCAAAGCCCGUUACGUUAAAGGAGAUUGACACCAGUUUAAAACAAUUUCUUUUCAUGGGAUCCUAUGGCUCUGAAUCAAAGCCCAUAGGAUACAAGGGACAGUGAUCCAAGUUAAAACCAUCACUUUCCAUGGGAUCCUAUGGUUCUGCAUCAACGCCCAUAGGAUACAAGGAACAGUGAUCCA
rnacentral:lncRNA from 1 species